AUUGAACGCUGGCGGCAGGCCUAACACAUGCCAGUCGAGCGGAUGAAGGGAGCUUGCUCCUGGAUUCAGCGGCGGACGGGUGAGUAAUGCCUAGGAAUCUGCCUGGUAGUGGGGGAUAACGUCCGGAAACGGGCGCUAAUACCGCAUACGUCCUGAGGGAGAAAGUGGGGGAUCUUCGGACCUCACGCUAUCAGAUGAGCCUAGGUCGGAUUAGCUAGUUGGUGGGGUAAAGGCCUACCAAGGCGACGAUCCGUAACUGGUCUGAGAGGAUGAUCAGUCACACUGGAACUGAGACACGGUCCAGACGCCUACGGGAGGCAGCAGUGGGGAAUAUUGGACAAUGGGCGAAAGCCUGAUCCAGCCAUGCCGCGUGUGUGAAGAAGGUCUUCGGAUUGUAAAGCACUUUAAGUUGGGAGGAAGGGCAGUAAGUUAAUACCUUGCUGUUUUGACGUUACCAACAGAAUAAGCACCGGCUAACUUCGUG
rnacentral:rRNA from 1 species